rnacentral:rRNA from 1 species
AUUGAACGCUGGCGGCAGGCCUAACACAUGCAAGUCGAGCGGAUGAAGGGAGCUUGCUCCUGGAUUCAGCGGCGGACGGGUGAGUAAUGCCUAGGAAUCUGCCUGGUAGUGGGGGAUAACGUCCGGAACGGGCGCUAAUACCGCAUACGUCCUGAGGGAGAAAGUGGGGGAUCUUCGGACCUCACGCUAUCAGAUGAGCCUAGGUCGGAUUAGCUAGUUGGUGGGGUAAAGGCCUACCAAGGCGACGAUCCGUAACUGGUCUGAGAGGAUGAUCAGUCACACUGGAACUGAGACACGGUCCAGACUCCUACGGGAGGCAGCAGUGGGGAAUAUUGGACAAUGGGCGAAAGCCUCAUCCAGCCAUGCCGCGUGUGUGAAGAAGGUCUUCGGAUUGUAAAGCACUUUAAGUUGGGAGGAAGGGCAGUAAGUUAAUACCUUGCUGUUUUGACGUUACCAACAGAAUAAGCACCGGCUAACUUCGUG